UGGGCCCCAGCGGCCGCCUCCGCAGCCGGGCCCCCACGGGCGAGCAGCCCCCGCCGCGCGGGAGCAACAGCGGCAAAGGCCAAAAGCAAAAAACCCACCCAAAGCCAAAAGCGAGAACCGCUUGUGUCUGGGCGACAAAUGCACACAAAGGGCGCGCUGCAGCCGGGAGGGAAGUUCGAAAGGCCCCGCAGCCAGAAGCGGCGGGUACGCUGCCCGCCCGCCCCCCGUCUCACAGACACCCCCACCCCUUCGGCAUUUGCGGCUCUUGAAAGGUUAAACAGCCCCUCGGAAACCGUGCAACGCCGCCCAGCCUCCGUGAGCGCUGGGUGAAUGGGUGUUAAGCCUGAGCCUCAAAGGGUAAGGAAGGCCAAGUUUCAGCCUGACUCCAAUUGAACACGAGUGCUGCAGCGUUGAGAUGAUGACUGUGAGUAUGAACAAUUGCAAAUGGAUUUCUCCCACCUGUGUCAACAUGGCUGUGGAGUGGCAGCCAGCCUAGAGGUUGCGAAUGUUACCUUCAUCCCUGAUAUUUUUCCCCAAAUGAAGAAAUCAGUAUAUCUAGUAUCUCACACCUGUCUUCUGUGCAGAAAUUUCUGCUGGAAUGGAGAAAGAAAAGUUUGCAUAAGAACUUGUCGCAAAGCCAAAUGCGCUUAAGAGUUGCUGGUCUGGACCCUUUCUUUAAGAUGCCCAUAUGCAGAUACACUCUGCUGCAAAGAGGAGGAUUUGAGAGAAGCUAGACUGAGGUUACUGCACAGUCCAGGAUGGCUACUCAUGCUGAAUGCUGAUUUGUCAUUAUUCCUCUUUUAAAAUCAAGAACAUCAACUUGCAGG